CCAAUCAAACAAUCAAAUAUCAAAGUGUUUCUUGCUAUUCGACCUGUAUCCUUCUCUUACACAUAAAUGUUGUCUCCAACAAGGGUUUCAUCAUCUUCGAGCAUAUAUCUUUAUGGCUAAUCUAACGGCAUCAUUACCAAGGUUUUUUACGUCUUGGAGCACAAAUCUUUGAUUCUGUUCUAAUGGCUUCAUCACCAAGUGUAUUUUAGAUGAUUAUGUCCCUCUCAACCUGAGCGGUGUUGUGGCUUCCGGUAUAUAUACUGUUGACGAGGACAACAAUAGAGAAGAGCAUGGGAUCUACUCCACAUUGGGCAUGGCUUUUGUUUCACAUGCAACUUCUAACUUCUCUGCUGUUGCAGAAUCAUCAGUAUUGGUGGAACUCACCCAUUAGUUAAAAAUAUAAGUUUUAGAUUUACUCCAAAUAGAUAAACACAACUUGAAGUAUUUAAAUUCAUAUUUUAGCUCCUUUAUACUUUAUUUCUUUUAUAAAUAUUUACUACUUGAGCAGUCCAUGAAAGUAGGAAAUUUUGUAAAAAUGAAAGAAGAACUUGAUUCCGAGUUUGGAUAUUUUUUAUGUAUAAAAAUUGUAGAAUUAUCUCUAGCUACAAAUCUAUGCUUUUCUAAUUUGGUUUGUUUGAAAUUAAUUUGGUUUGUUUAUUGUAAAAUGCUUUUUAGUGGCAAAGUGUAACGAACAAAGGCAAUGAUGUGGAGCAGUGUAUGUCACACGUGAGCUUCAAGUCAACUUACCUAAUAUAUAAUUAGUGAUUAGAAGAAAUGCAAUGAUUAAUUAGCAAGGAAUGAUUAGCAACCUCAUUAUACUUUCAAAAAAGGGUUAGUUUUGAGAAAGAUGUGGACAAGACAGAGUCAAUGUGGAAGAUACAACAUCGACAUGCUGCUGAUAAUAUUUAAGCCAUAUACGAUGACAUGGGUGUAUUAUUUUUAAAGAAGGAAAAGCAACAUCCCGGGUGUAUCUAAGUCUCUUAAUCUAUCCAUGGUGAAUCACUUCAAGUCAUGUAUCCCGAGUUGUUUUAGAACCACUUUAUUUUCAAGUCUUCAAGUCGAAUAUCAUUAGCCCACUAUAAAUGCAUAGAGGUGGAAGUCUUGACCCAAGUGGUUAAUUUGAGUUUUCUAUUUCUCACCAAUUGGUUAAACGGGAAUUUCUGACCACGAACUGGGAUGACAAGAGUUGUAUAACUAACAUUACAAUUCGGCUUACUAAUAUCACUGUCCAUAAUAGCUUUCUUAUUUUCUCCGUGCCCAAAACUAAAAAUAAUCAAUGGCCAUCUUCUUCGAAUCUGAUUAUCAUCUUCGUCUCCAAGCUGUUCAUCUAGCCGUUGCUAGCUUCUACAUACUUUUGUGGAUUUCUACCAAGAAACUUGAAUCUGAUGUUGUUACAACCUCUUUAAUUCUUGCUAAAAUGUCACAUUUUGAGUGAUGUGUCUCAUUGUCAAGUUAUAUAAGGAUAUAUAUAUGCUUAAAUAUGACACCUGAAGUGUCAUACUCCCUGAAUGUCAUUAUCAAGUUAUAAAAGGUCUCAUUGAGUGUCAUAAAGUUUAAU
rnacentral:lncRNA from 1 species